GUCUGGGUCCCGCGCGGCGUCAUGCCGUGAACCUUGUCAGGGCCGGAAGGCAGCAGCAAUAAGCGGAAGUUGGCGUGCGCAGCGGGUAUGCCCGUCCCGA
rnacentral:SRP_RNA from 1 species